GACGAACGCUGGCGGCAUGCCUUACACAUGCAAGUCGAACGGCAGCACGGGGGCAACCCUGGUGGCGAGUGGCGAACGGGUGAGUAAAGCAUCGGAACGUACCCGGGAGUGGGGGAUAACGUAGCGAAAGUUACGCUAAUACCGCAUAUUCUCUGAGGAGGAAAGAGGGGGAUCGCAAGACCUCUUGCUUUCGGAGCGGCCGAUGUCGGAUUAGCUAGUUGGUGGGGUAAAGGCCUACCAAGGCGACGAUCCGUAGCGGGUCUGAGAGGAUGAUCCGCCACACUGGGACUGAGACACGGCCCAGACUCCUACGGGAGGCAGCAGUGGGGAAUUUUGGGCAAUGGGGGCAACCCUGAUCCAGCCAUGCCGCGUGAGUGAAGAAGGCCUUCGGGUUGUAAAGCUCUUUCGGCCGGGAAGAAAUCGCCGUUUUUAAUACAGACGGUGGAUGACGGUACCGGAAUAAGAAGCACCGGCUAACUACGUGCCAGCAGCCGCAGUAACAC
rnacentral:rRNA from 1 species